AUUUUUAACAAGAGAAACAACAGCAAUGUCGAAAAUAUCCCAAAAUUUCUGAAAGAAAAGUGCAUGAAAACCAUCAAUACCUAAGGCUUUUGUCGGGUGCAUUUGGAAUAAAGCAUCGCAGACUUCUUCACGAGUUGGUUCUACAUCCAGUAGCGCAUUCAUACUUCAAGAGCUUCAGCAAAACCCGAGGGGGAAACUGGUGGCAAAGAUGCUUUCGAAGUAGGUAAUGACCAGUCUCUAGAUAUCAACCUUUGAGGAUUUCCAGCAACCCUCUUCAUCAGUAAGGCCAUGAAUCAAGUUUCUUCUCUUUCUCGAGCUGGCUUUAUGAUGGAAGUAUUUUGUGUUUUUAUCUCCAUCUUUCAAUUCAUUCACUCUUGAGUGUAGGUGCCAGUAAGCUUCUUCCAUCCUAUGCAAAUCAUCUAGCUCUUCAGCCAGUAAGCUAUUUAGAAUAAAUUUUUUUUUGUCAAAAAAAAUAACUAAAAAAUUUAUUUUAUUUAUGAAAAGAUAACUACUAACAAAUUGUUGAAUUUCCGUUAGCUUUUCAAUUUUUUUUUAAAAAAAUAAAUAAAUACAAAAGUUAGAAUAUAGCACGAGGGUUCCAAAUAACCACUUUCCUCAAAUCAAUUAGAGAAAAGAAACUCGCUGUUCUUCAAUCUUCCCAAAGCUGUCAUGAACUCCAUCCUCUUUCCAUUCUAUUAAUCUUCUUUCCUCAGGGAUUAAUUAUUUAAAAGAGGAACCUUUUCAAUUCUUCUUGUUUUAUUGGUGGUCAUAAAUGGCUUCUUUGUUCAAGGAUCUAAAUAAGCUCUCAGCUUAUAGAGAUAGGAGAUUUCUUGGGAAUCAAGAAGAAUUUGAGGAAGCACUAAAGAACUCAACAACUGUUUAUGUUGGAAACAUGUCUUUCUAUACAACAGAAGAGCAAGUUUAUGAGCUAUUUUCUCGAGUAGGAGAGUUAAAAAAGAUUAUCAUGGGUUUGGAUAAGAAUUCAAAAACCCCUUGUGGAUUUUGUUUUGUAUUAUACUACUCUAGAGAAGACACUGAGGAUGCAGUAAAAUAUAUAAGUGGGACAAUUCUUGAUGAUCGCCCUAUUCGUGUGGACUUUGACUGGGGUUUCCAAGAGGGCAGACAAUGGGGACGCGGUCGAAGUGGUGGUCAGGUGCGUGAUGAAUAUCGUACUGAUUAUGAUCCUGGAAGAGGUGGUUAUGGAAAAUUGGUCCAGAGAGAGCUUGAGGCUCCAAGGACACUUGUAGAUUAUGCUUCUGGAUCUCUGGGAGCUUUUCAGCCAGCUAUGCCAUCCCGCUAUGGUAGACAUGAAAGGAACCAUGGUCAUGGUGGCUCUUAUCGGCAUGGCAGAGAUUUUCAUCGAAAGCGACAUCGUGAGGAUGAUCGUCAUCUUUCUGUUGAUAUGCCAAAGAGAAAUGAGCAUGAACAACGUAGAAAGACUGAUCAUGAAUCUAGACCUGAGAAAAACCCACGUUUCCGUGAAAGUGGAGACUCUGAUGAUGACGAAGAAGACGAUGAUAAGCGUCGCACUUAGGCAAACUAGCAAAACAGUGUGAAGAGGGGCAACACAUUACAAUCUUGAUCUCAAUUUGCACAUGAAUUUUGUCUUUGAUUUGGAAUUCCUCUUCUUGAAGGUCUUAGAUACUACGAUCUUUUUUGGUAUCGACCAUGAGGAAGGAUAUGCCGCAAAAUGGUUGAAGACUCGAAGAAGGAAUAGGUUGAAUGGUAAGGAAAUUAGGUUUUUAGGAAUUACUCUUGGUUUUUAUAAAAUAAAUGUAAAAUGGUCAUCUGAGUUGGAUAUGUGUCUUAAAUGUGGGAUGUAAACUCAAACUUUAAGAUUAUGAACUCAACUCCAACACAAAUUUUUAGGGUUCAAAAUAGGUAAAUUCAGACCUUUAAAUUGCGGUUGGAUCGGCUCUAGAUCCUUGAGUCCAAGGUCCAAGAUAAAUUUCUAAUUGCAAAUAUUUUUUUAUA